rnacentral:rRNA from 1 species
CUUUGUAAUUGGGUAGCGGAGCGUUCUGUAAGCCUGUAAAGGUGAUGCGUAAGCAUUGCUGGAGGUAUCAGAAGUGCGAAUGCUGACAUGAGUAACGAUAAGAAAUGUGAAAGACAUUUCCGCCGAAAUCCUAAGGUUUCCUGCGUAAAGCUAAUCUGCGCAGGGUUAGUCGGCCCCUAAGGCGAGGGCGAAAGCCGUAGUCGAUGGGAAGCAGGUUAAUAUUCCUGCACCAGCUGGUAGUGACGGAUGAAGUAAAUUGUAAGUUCUUACUGGAUUGAGCUUGCAGUGAAUUUGUCCCUGGAAAUAGCUCCAGCAUUAGACCGUACCAAAACCGACACAGGUAGGAGGGUAGAGAAUACCAAGGCGCUUGAGAGAACUAUGUUGAAGGAACUCGGCAAAUUACACUUGUAACUUCGGGAUAAAAGUGACCUGCUAUUGGGCAACCAGUAGGAGGUGGCACAGAAGAGGGGGUAGCGACUGUUUACUAAAAACAUAGCACUAUGCAAAGUCGAAAGACGACGUAUAUGGUGUGACGCCUGCCCGGUGCCGGAAGGUUAAUAGGAGGGGUGCAAGCCCUGAAUUGAAGCCCCGGUGAACGGCGGCCGUAACUAUAACGGUCCUAAGGUAGCGAAAUUCCUUGUCGGGUAAGUUCCGACCUGCACGAAUGGCGUAACGAUUUCCCCACUGUCUCCAACAUAGACUCAGUGAAAUUGAAUUCUCGGUUAAGAUGCCGAGUAACCGUGGUUAGACGGAAAGACCCCGUGCACCUUUACUGCAGCUUUGUAUUGGUAUUAGGGAACAGAUGUGUAGCAUAGGUGGGAGACUUUGAAGGAGUGGCGCUAGCCAUUCUGGAGUCACUAGUGAAAUACCACUCUUCUGUUCCUUGAUGCCUAACCAUACACCGUUAUCCGGUGUUGGGACCAUGCAUGGUGGGCAGUUUGACUGGGGCGGUCGCCUCCCAAAGAGUAACGGAGGCGCGCGAUGGUAGGCUCAGAACGCUUGGAAACCGUUCGUCGAGUGCAAUGGCAUAAGCCUGCCUGACUGCGAGACCCACAAGUCGAGCAGAGACGAAAGUCGGUCAUAGUGAUCCGGUGGCACUUCGUGGAAGGGCCAUCGCUCAACGGAUAAAAGGUACGCCGGGGAUAA